UUAAGUUAUUAAGGGCGCACGGUGGAUGCCUUGGCACUAGAAGCCGAUGAAGGACGUUACUAACGACGAUAUGCUUUGGGGAGCUGUAAGUAAGCUUUGAUCCAGAGAUUUCCGAAUGGGGAAACCCAGCAUGAGUUAUGUCAUGUUAUCGAUAUGUGAAUACAUAGCAUAUCAGAAGGCACACCCGGAGAACUGAAACAUCUUAGUACCCGGAGGAAGAGAAAGAAAAUUCGAUUCCCUUAGUAGCGGCGAGCGAAACGGGAAGAGCCCAAACCAACAAGCUUGCUUGUUGGGGUUGUAGGACACUCUAUACGGAGUUACAAAGGACGACAUUAGACGAAUCAUCUGGAAAGAUGAAUCAAAGAAGGUAAUAAUCCUGUAGUCGAAAAUGUUGUCUCUCUUGAGUGGAUCCUGAGUACGACGGAGCACGUGAAAUUCCGUCGGAAUCUGGGAGGACCAUCUCCUAAGGCUAAAUACUCUCUAGUGACCGAUAGUGAACCAGUACCGUGAGGGAAAGGUGAAAAGCACCCCGGAAGGGGAGUGAAAUAGAACCUGAAACCGUGUGCUUACAAGUAGUCAGAGCCCGUUAAUGGGUGAUGGCGUGCCUUUUGUAGAAUGAACCGGCGAGUUACGAUUUGAUGCAAGGUUAAGCAGUAAAUGUGGAGCCGUAGCGAAAGCGAGUCUGAAUAGGGCGUUUAGUAUUUGGUCGUAGACCCGAAACCAGGUGAUCUACCCUUGGUCAGGUUGAAGUUCAGGUAACACUGAAUGGAGGACCGAACCGACUUACGUUGAAAAGUGAGCGGAUGAACUGAGGGUAGCGGAGAAAUUCCAAUCGAACCUGGAGAUAGCUGGUUCUCUCCGAAAUAGCUUUAGGGCUAGCCUCAAGUGAUGAUUAUUGGAGGUAGAGCACUGUUUGGACGAGGGGCCCCUCUCGGGUUACCGAAUUCAGACAAACUCCGAAUGCCAAUUAAUUUAACUUGGGAGUCAGAACAUGGGUGAUAAGGUCCGUGUUCGAAAGGGAAACAGCCCAGACCACCAGCUAAGGUCCCAAAAUAUAUGUUAAGUGGAAAAGGAUGUGGCGUUGCCCAGACAACUAGGAUGUUGGCUUAGAAGCAGCCAUCAUUUAAAGAGUGCGUAAUAGCUCACUAGUCGAGUGACACUGCGCCGAAAAUGUACCGGGGCUAAACAUAUUACCGAAGCUGUGGAUUGUCCUUUGGACAAUGGUAGGAGAGCGUUCUAAGGGCGUUGAAGCAUGAUCGUAAGGACAUGUGGAGCGCUUAGAAGUGAGAAUGCCGGUGUGAGUAGCGAAAGACGGGUGAGAAUCCCGUCCACCGAUUGACUAAGGUUUCCAGAGGAAGGCUCGUCCGCUCUGGGUUAGUCGGGUCCUAAGCUGAGGCCGACAGGCGUAGGCGAUGGAUAACAGGUUGAUAUUCCUGUACCACCUAUAAUCGUUUUAAUCGAUGGGGGGACGCAGUAGGAUAGGCGAAGCGUGCGAUUGGAUUGCACGUCUAAGCAGUAAGGCUGAGUAUUAGGCAAAUCCGGUACUCGUUAAGGCUGAGCUGUGAUGGGGAGAAGACAUUGUGUCUUCGAGUCGUUGAUUUCACACUGCCGAGAAAAGCCUCUAGAUAGAAAAUAGGUGCCCGUACCGCAAACCGACACAGGUAGUCAAGAUGAGAAUUCUAAGGUGAGCGAGCGAACUCUCGUUAAGGAACUCGGCAAAAUGACCCCGUAACUUCGGGAGAAGGGGUGCUCUUUAGGGUUAACGCCCAGAAGAGCCGCAGUGAAUAGGCCCAAGCGACUGUUUAUCAAAAACACAGGUCUCUGCUAAACCGUAAGGUGAUGUAUAGGGGCUGACGCCUGCCCGGUGCUGGAAGGUUAAGAGGAGUGGUUAGCUUCUGCGAAGCUACGAAUCGAAGGCCCAGUAAACGGCGGCCGUAACUAUUUCGGUCCUAAGGUAGCGAAAUUCCUUGUCGGGUAAGUUCCGACCCGCACGAAAGGCGUAACGAUUUGGGCACUGUCUCAACGAGAGACUCGGUGAAAUCAUAGUACCUGUGAAGAUGCAGGUUACCCGCGACAGGACGGAAAGACCCCGUGGAGCUUUACUGUAGCCUGAUAUUGAAAUUCGGCACAGCUUGUACAGGAUAGGUAGGAGCCUUUGAAACGUGAGCGCUAGCUUACGUGGAGGCGCUGGUGGGAUACUACCCUAGCUGUGUUGGCUUUCUAACCCGCACCACUUAUCGUGGUGGGAGACAGUGUCAGGCGGGCAGUUUGACUGGGGCGGUCGCCUCCUAAAAGGUAACGGAGGCGCUCAAAGGUUCCCUCAGAAUGGUUGGAAAUCAUUCAUAGAGUGUAAAGGCAUAAGGGAGCUUGACUGCGAGACCUACAAGUCGAGCAGGGUCGAAAGACGGACUUAGUGAUCCGGUGGUUCCGCAUGGAAGGGCCAUCGCUCAACGGAUAAAAGCUACCCCGGGGAUAACAGGCUUAUCUCCCCCAAGAGUUCACAUCGACGGGGAGGUUUGGCACCUCGAUGUCGGCUCAUCGCAUCCUGGGGCUGUAGUCGGUCCCAAGGGUUGGGCUGUUCGCCCAUUAAAGCGGUACGCGAGCUGGGUUCAGAACGUCGUGAGACAGUUCGGUCCCUAUCCGUCGUGGGCGUAGGAAAUUUGAGAGGAGCUGUCCUUAGUACGAGAGGACCGGGAUGGACAUACCUCUGGUGUACCAGUUGUCGUGCCAACGGCAUAGCUGGGUAGCUAUGUGUGGACGGGAUAAGUGCUGAAAGCAUCUAAGCAUGAAGCCCCCCUCAAGAUGAGAUUUCCCAACUUCGGUUAUAAGAUCCCUCAAAGAUGAUGAGGUUAAUAGGUUCGAGGUGGAAGCAUGGUGACAUGUGGAGCUGACGAAUACUAAUCGAUCGAAGACUUAAUCAA
rnacentral:rRNA from 1 species